UUCCCCGUUACGAUAUGGGGGUUCGCCCGAUACUUGUCGAGGUUUUUUAAACCAGAUAAGCAUACAUUUUGAACUUCAACCCCGGGCUUAUCCUACUGACAGGGCUAAAGUAGGGUUCAUUAUAACACUGCUAAUAGACAAAGCACUUAGAUGGGCCAAUCCCCUUUGGGAGAAUGAUAACCCUUUAGUCUACAACUAUACUGCGUUUGUCACAGCUUUCAAAAGGACUUUUGACCCCCCAGGAAGGAAGGUUAAUGCAGCCAGAUCUCUGUUACGCCUUAAACAACAAAAUAGAACUCUGGUAGAAUAUGCAUUAG